AAGGACACUGCAGUAAGAAGAAGUUGGGAGCGACAAGCAAAGAAGACUGUAAAGAAGUUGUUCAUCAGCACAGAGUGUGAUAUCCUGAAAGCCAAAUGAAGAAAGAAGCAAGCAUCAAGAUCAAGAAGAAAGAAGUAAACCAGUUGUGUCAAAAGUUGGUUCAGGCCGGGCGCAGUGGCUCACGCUUGUCAUCCCAGUACUUUGGGAGGCUGAGAGACCAAUUAUUGAAGAUAGUUGUGCCACAAUAUGGAUGAAUCCUGGAUACAUGAAUGCCUGUGUGGAACAGAGCCCGCUGUCUACUGUAUUGGAUUCUGAGAAAGAGCCAUCUCAGACCCAAUUCUCUCUUGCCCUUAGUUAGUCUAGCACAGAGGCGCUAAGUCCUACAGGGGCAUUGGCUGGUUACCUGCAGGCAUGCAGGCAGGCGAAUAUUUUUAACCUCAAGGAGAUCAAGACGGGCUUAGCCCUUCUCCACACAUCAGAGGUCAAGUUCUCUUUCCAGUAACAGAGAACGUGAUACCUUCGGCUCCAACUCUAGUUCCCAGGACUAGAAAUCAUGAGAUAUUUAACCAGCCCAAGGCCUCCUGCGUCCACCCACUGUCCAGCCUGAGAUCCCUUGCUGCUUGGCCUGUGGCAGCGUGGGCCCCAUCAUACCCCAGCCUUCUGCCUUGUUCUGAGAUUGCCCUUUGUUUCUGCUUCUUUCCAAGUCUGACAAACUACGCGAUGCCUCAGUCUUAUAUGUAAUCACUUGCCACACUCUUGCCAGCUUUAUCCCCAGAAAUUAGGAUCUUGUCUUAAAACCCAGUUCAGGAGGGAGGAGUGAUUCCUCACUGAUAAUGCUCCCUGAUACCAGCUCAAGCCUCAGAUUCGCCUGUAGUUGUGUUUGGUCUUUCUGUUGGGACAAAACAUUCAUCCAUCUAUCCAUCCACUGUUUAUUGAGCCCCUAUCAUAGCCCCGGCUGACAGAGAUGAAUAAAAUAUAGUCCUGGCUCUCAUGAAACUCACACUCCAAUGAAU
rnacentral:lncRNA from 1 species